rnacentral:lncRNA from 10 species
GAGGCGGGCUGAGGCAGGAGAAUCGCUUGAUCCUGGGAGGUAGAGGUUGCAGUGAGCUGAGAUCGCACCAUUGCACUCCAGCCUGGGCAACAGAGUGAGACUCUGUCUCAAAAAAAAAAAAAAACCCAAAAAAACAGCAACCAAAAAAACCUGAUUUCAUGGGGGCAAGAUUCAAAUGUCAACUUCAGUUUGAGAUUAGGAGGCCCUGAUUCAUUAAACCGAUAGUUAUGUAUUGGACCUACCAUGAGUUGAAUGCAUGCAUACAGUGUGGUGGGAAGGGUCUGUGAGCUCUGAGAGGCCAGAGUUUGAGAGUCUGGCGGUGCUUCUAGUCAUAACAGACACAUAAUAGGACAUAAAAGGAGUAGUAUUUACCUACUAAGUUCCAGGCCUAUGAUAAUGCUUUACACUCACUGGCUUGCCAAAUAACUUAUAAACUAUACAAACUUUAUUAUCAGGAACUGUUAUAUUUAAUAACUCAGGCAAAAUAUUCACAUACUCUUACCAGUACUAAUAGUCAUUACCAUGAUUGAUCUUUUAGGCUGUCUUUGACAAACAGAAAUGGACAGUGUCGUACGGUUCCAGCAUUUAACCUCUCCUCCACCUCAAUCUUACUUCCCUACGUUUCUCUUUGCCUCUUCUUUCUCACUUAGUUUUGAAUCAAUUAUACUUUGUCGAUCUGUUAGCUGUCUUAGAUCCUUUUAGGAGCAGCAUACAAAUAGAAAAAUACAGUCUCCCAUAUCCCACAACCAAAUAUAACCACAAUGAACAUUUUUGUGUAUUGCUUUCCGGUAUUUUUCUCUGCAUAUUUAUGUACAUAUUGAAGCCAGGUUGAAGACAGCCUGUAAUUAUGUCAGCCCUGUGUUCUGUUCCGUUAGCAUUUCUCCAUUUAAACCUGACUCUUUGAAGUCCAGUGCUGUCUCAUGACUAGAUAACACAUUAUUUGACUUUUCUGGAAUUCUGGCUGUAUCUAAGGGGAUAGGUUUCCUGUCACUGAGCCUGACUGAACAAUUCUGAGAUUAUCAACACUGCCAUAGGGCCCCGAAAAAGCGUCUAAUGAAUGCAAAAGUUCAAAGCGGUUUUGUUCAGGUGUUAUUUUUGGAGACACUUUCUCAGGCUUUUAUGAUGCAAUCCACUUUGUGCCCCUCUCUUGCAGCAGCUGCGGCCAGGGAAAAAGCACUAAGUGGGCUUGCUCACUGGUCCUCAGGGGUGGGUACCCUGGGCAGGUCAGCCCAGAAGUCAGCUGCCUCCUCUCCAGGCCCUGCCUGGACAGCUGAGAGUCAAGCAGACAGUUAUGUGCCAUCCCUACCUCUUUUCUGUCUUCAGUAACUGGCAGCUUCAUCCUGCCAGAGAGUUUGGAAUGAGCUAGGACUUUCCCAUCAGUCUGAACUCCUGGGUUUUCCCAGGCCUGGUGACUCAGAGGGUAAGGCACCGAGCCGAGGAAGAGAAAGGAGAACCUGGACUCCUGGGUGCCUUUGUCUCACCACACAAUCACCUCCCAGGAAGGCUGUCAUCCAAUCACUCCUGUGGAAUCUCUCUGCCACUUUGUUGUAAAGAAAGUCAGCCCCAGUGAAGGGUAAAAAGAAGUGCCAGAGGGCCUUGGGGACAAGCCAUAUACUGGUAGAAAGGGCACUGGGGCAGGGUCCGAACAGCUGAGAGUAUGUCUAGCACCAGGAUGAAAAUCAGUAGUUCACAGAGCUGCUUUGUUUGACCUACUCCGUAUUUUUUUAAUGGUACAUUUCACAUAAAGACCUGUAUAUCUGGCUUCCCCACAAAAGUCAAGAUCUGACAGCAUCUGACUAUAUUUUCUCAUGCAAUAUCUGAAGCUGGGUAGCAGCCAGCCCUGGAUGGGGUGUUUCCUCUCCAGAUUAACACAGAGCCUACCAACUUGUUAAAUCUCACCUCAUAGGACAAUAGGCGCAAAAAUAUACUGAAAUGAGUUGAAAAAAUGGUAAUACUUUUUUUUUUUGAGACAGAGUCUCACUCUGUCGCCCAGGC